rnacentral:lncRNA from 1 species
AGGCGGGACUCGGCCGAGAACCAGACCUGGCUCUCAUCUACCUACCACUUUGGACAGUUCUCCCCUGGAAGGGUCUGGCCCCAAGAGUUAGCCAUACCCUGGAACUGGCCUGGUCUGCGUGUCUUCCCAGCAGGGGAGGACUCCACAGACGGCGUCCAAGUGGGUAGGCAAGUCACAGCCGCCAUAGCAGAUGACUCCUAUUUAUUUUGCAUUAAGAUUUUAAUUUGUAUAUUUUUGUGAUUUAUUUUGGCAUUGUUAUGAGUUUGACUCUCGGGGAGUUUUGUUGUUAUGACUCUUGUGUCUUUUGUCACAAAACAAUGAUAAUAUUUGCUAAACAAUAUAUGGAAUUUAUUUUUGAUUGGUAAUAAAAAAUGAAAUGCACAUAC